GGUGAACGCUGGCGGCGUGCCUAACACAUGCAAGUCGAGCGGUACAGUUUGAAGCUUCGGUGGAGAGCUGUAUAGCGGCGGACGGGUGAGUAAAGCGUAGGAACGUGCCCCUCGGAGUUGGAUAGCCAUGGGAAACUGUGGGUAAACCGACAUAGACUCGGGAGAGUAAAGGCCGAAAGGCGCCGAGGGAGCGGUCUGCGUCCCAUCAGCUAGUUGGUAAGGUAAAGGCUUACCAAGGCGACGACGGGUAGCCGGUCUGAGAGGAUGUACGGCCACACUGGGACUGAGAUACGGCCCAGACUCCUACGGGAGGCAGCAGUUGGGAAUCUUAGGCAAUGGACGAAAGUCUGACCUAGCGACGCCGCGUGAGGGAAGAAGGCCUUCGGGUUGUAAACCUCUGUCAUGGGGAAGAAGUAAGUGACGGUACCCAAGAGGAAGCCCCUGCUAACUACGUG
rnacentral:rRNA from 1 species